UCCUCCAGCAAUCUCCUUCUUUAUUUCACUGAUGUUUUGGUUUCUCCUUUUUCAGCCGUUUUCAUUCUUCCAGGGCUUUUAAUCGAGUGCACGUUCUCCCUUUCAUGUCUUCCGUUCCAUCUUCACUCUCUUUGCCUCUCUGUCUCUUAUGUUUCUUUGUUUGCGAUGUUGAGGCCAAGGAUUCCUCUCCCCAUUACAUCGCAAGGCCCUCUCUUAAACCCCCAAAGUUGUGGCUGACGUUUUUUUCCGCAGCGGCAUCGGCAUCGGCAUCGGCAUCGGCGACGAGGUGAAGACCCUGAGGGCUCCGGCGACGUGCGAGGUAGGGGAGAUAGGUGGAUGGCGAACUGAGGAAUCGGUCCCGUCCAUUAGGAACUGAGGAAUCGACUGCGAGAUUCGCACAGCAGGGUUUCUUCUCGAAUUUACUGUCCUUAGAUUCUUUGUUUGUUUGUUUUUUUUCUCUGUUCUGAAUCUGUCAGCUACCCCUCUAAACUAUGAUUUGUUUGCUUUAUCUAUUUAUUUUACAAAUUGGGUGACAGAAAGGUUGAAAGACAGGCUAGCGGAGUUUUCAAAAUGUGAGUAUGAGCUGUUUGAUGAAUUGACCAGUUUAAUCAGAGGAGAAGCAUUGGAUGGCAUAGAGAUGAUAACACACCCUACCUCAAGCAACAUCACCUUUCAGUGAGGUUUAUUCAACCUUUUUGUACAUAUUGAUAUCCUGUUAUAAUUUGCACUCUUGCUGAUAGACAACUUUUGCCUUCAAUUGGUAAAACCAUUGAAGGCUCAUGUAGUCAAGGUGUUAUUCUCACAGAAGAAAGAAGCUUUAUCCUCCGAAACUGAAGCGGUGAAUCCAGAUGUGAUACGAACCAGGUCAAAGCCAUAUCCUCUUCAUUUCCAUUUUUCUUUUCGUGAGAGGGAAGGGCUUGAAGGUGGAAUUUGCAUUGUCAUCUAAUUUUUAUCCUGAUUGAGUGAAUUUUUCCCGUAUGGAAAAAGGAUACCUGACCAGGGUCUUCAGGGAAUAUACAAUACCUCUGAUUUCCUUGAACCUAACAUUAAAAUAAUAAUUCAAUUAGUAUCACAUAAUUACUCAAUUAGUAGUUGUGCUGGUCGUGCACAUGCAGGAAGAAGAAAGAGUGAUUAUUCUUUGUUGCUUUGGGAAGUGAAAAACAUCUUUAUGUGGUAAUUAACCAGAAAUUGGUUGAUAUAUUAUUUCUUACAGAUUGUUGAUGCCUCAUGUUCCUUGAUCCACUCCCCAUGUAUGGCAAGCUAAGAGCCUGAAAAUAAGGAAAAGAGUAUUUUCCAGAACUUUGAAAAGUAAAGAAUUGUUUGUUCGAAGAAUUUUCUUUGUUGUGUAACAUUUCUCAUGUUGAAAUAACUUUAUGUGUCGGACCGGGUCAGGGCAGGUUUAUGCGAAUAUGAAUUCCCUCAGUAUUGUGACUCUCAAAGAUGAGUUUCACCAAGAUGGAAAUGAGAAGGUUUGACAUAUAAUUCAUCAAAUACCUCUGUUAUUGCGAGUUUCAAUGAGCAUAACCUGAGGUCUGUUCUGCUUUUAUUAGUUGUUUCUUGAUACUACAGUGCUGAAUUUUAUAUUUGUGUGCAUUUGCCCUUGAGUAAUAGAUUAGGAAGCUUUAAAUGGAUAGUUUUAGACAUUGAAUAGCACUUGACUUUACAUAAGACUUGGACUCUAAAAUAUCAAAUCGCUUAAAAGAGGAAACUGGAUAAAAGAAAAGGGUGGUAGGAUUCUACCAGUUAAAUUGUUUGACUGAGUCUAUUUUCAAAUUUAUAUUAUUUUGAUGGUUUGAAAUUCUGAUGUAACAAUUGCAAUGCAUGCCAAUGAGUAUAUAGUUUCUGAAAAGUUUCUUUUCAUGACUCUUUCUAGAUUCUUUUGUCUAUCCGGUUACUCACUCCCUAUUUAUUUGUUGGCUUGCUGAAAAAAAUUCAGGAAACAAACUCAUGCUUUUGUAUUCAUUGCUUUCACACUUAGUGGCCUCCCAGGCACUGGGAACCAAAUGAAUUCAAUAUGUUACCAAGAAGAAGCAAAAUGCAGGUUGUGCCAAGAAGAAGUCAAUGGUGGAGCACACACAAGAGGAUCAUGAAGCUCACUCAUGGGAACAUCAAAUACAGUACCAAGUCAAGAGCCUAGACAAUGUGCAACUGCAUGUGUUCAGUGAAGCUCCAUCCUCAAGCUCAUCUUCAUCUUCUUGCCACAGUCCUAUUCUUGCCAAAUUUCUCAGAUUCAAAUUACAAGCUGAGAUGAUGAAGGGUCUCAAACAAUCCUCUUUGUGACAUGAGAAUGUGAAAUCAAGCUAGCAUUAGUUUUAAAGUGAUCCAUGUUUAUUUAUCAUAAAAAAGUGAUCCAUGUUUAUGAUAUGAAUUACUUGAAUUUGAUGGCUUAUAAGGAUUGUGAUUAUAUAUGGUGGGGUGGUGUUAAAAAUUGAGAAUAAGAACAAGCACUUUGCACAAA